AACGUAGGAGGCGAGCGUUAUCCGGAUUUACUGGGUGUAAAGCGCGUGCAGGCGGCUUCGUAAGUCGUGCGUGAAAGCGCCCGGCCCAACCGGGCGAGGUCGUGCGAAACUGCGGGGCUUGAGGUAGGUAGAGGCGUAUGGAAUUCCGGGUGUAGUGGUGAAAUGCGUAGAUAUCCGGAGGAACACCAGUGGCGAAGGCGAUGCGCUGGGCCUGACCUGACGCUAAGACGCGAAAGCACGGGUAGCGAACGGG
rnacentral:rRNA from 1 species